ACCGUCAGUUUCGUGUGUGUCCAGGGCACGUGGCUGGGUGGCAUGUCUUGACCUCGGGCCUGGCCCCAGGUGGCUGCCUUCCUACUCAGAGAUGUGCUGGGCAGGGUGUGGGGGGGAGUCCCCCUGAGACGCCGGGUCCUGGGGGAAGCUCUCUGAGGAAGCUUGCCUCUGGCACAAGUCACUUCAACAAACAGGACGGUUUCUGCACGUGGGGAGUCGUCCCUGACCCGGGAGACCCACAGAGUCCGUGAGAGUGACGGGGAGGGCUCACCUCGAGGCUCGCGGGGCAGGGAGGUGGGAGGGGUGGAAGGCGUGCUAAUCGGGGUGAGGCGGCCUGUGCUCCAAGGGCGCGUGUGGGUGAGACCAUUGCAUUCCCGGGGCACGUGAACCCCACCCCAGCUGCUCGGGACCCCAGUGGUCCAAGGCAGAUCUGCGUGGCCUGGGCAGCCACGGGGUGGGGGUGAGAGAGAGGGAGAGCACUUCUGGGGAGGGGGCUCCCCUACGUAGCACAGACCUUCAUGUUUAGGUCUCCCAAAUUCAGGGCACAGCACUUGACCAGCUCCUCUUUCCCGGCUCACGGAGCAUGACCCGUGGGUGAGUGAGUGACCCCCAGGAGGCGGGAAGUCAUUCCCUGCAGGCAGCUGGAGGGGGGACUCCAGUGCAGACCCCGCCCUGGGGUGUGAGUUCCCCACCAGCUCGUGACCUCGGGAGGCCUCAGUGCCCUCCUGGGUCGCUGUAGGACUCAGAUGGGGAGAUGCCCACGCCGCCCUGGCACAGCGUGUCCACCGUAAGCACCCGGAGCCAGUCAGACGCACGUCCUGCACAGAAGACACGGGUGAACGCUCAGCCUCGUCACAACCCACAGACUUCACAGCGGAAGGGAGCGCGAAAUGUUAAUUCUGCCCUGAGAAAAGCAUCUGCGUUUCACAAGGGCCCACCUCACGCCCCGUCUCCCACCCACCAUGCUCGCCCGCGCCACACAGCCGGCCUUUGCCCUCGGUGGUCGGUGUCACUGGGUUUUCUGUCUUUGGGACUCUGCUCCGGGAGCACUCUGGUGGUGGGACCCCUGCGGCCAGAGUCCCAGACACGAUGGAGCAGCGUUCAGCCACCCGCCAGCGGACGGGGCAGACGACCUCCAGGGGCAGGAGGCAGAGAGCAUCCUGCCCAGGGCUGAGGGCUUAGCACUCACCCAGGGCUCCUUUAUGUCAGCUGUGGGCAUUGAGUAGACGUGGCUCCCGAUUAUUGAGGGCGCGUGGACGUGGGAGACCUCCCCCAAGGCGGCUGCUCAGAGACCCCGUGGCCAGAGCCAGGCCCGCCCAGCCUCCACCGCCCGCUCCCUAAUGGGAUCGGGAUUAAAUUGGGCGACUUCUAAGA